CCUACGGGGGGCAGCAGUGGGGAAUAUUGGACAAUGGGCGAAAGCCUGAUCCAGCCAUGCCGCGUGUGUGAAGAAGGCCUUCGGGUUGUAAAGCACUUUCAGUGGGGAAGAAAGCCUUGGGGCUAAUACCCUCGAGGAAGGACAUCACCCACAGAAGAAGCACCGGCUAACUCCGUGCCAGCAGCCGCGGUAAUACGGAGGGUGCGAGCGUUAAUCGGAAUUACUGGGCGUAAAGCGCGCGUAGGCGGUCUGAUAAGCCGGUUGUGAAAGCCCCGGGCUCAACCUGGGAACGGCAUCCGGAACUGUCAGGCUAGAGUGCAGGAGAGGAAGGUAGAAUUCCCGGUGUAGCGGUGAAAAGCGUAGAGAUCGGGAGGAAUACCAGUGGCGAAGGCGGCCUUCUGGACUGACACUGACGCUGAGGUGCGAAAGCGUGGGUAGCAAACAGGAUUAGAUACCCUUGUAGUC
rnacentral:rRNA from 1 species